UGAGGGCAUGCUGGCCAUUGGAGGCCAGGAAUUUGAUUUCGGAGCUUUACGGGAUCCUCAGCAACAAGUUUGAGAAUCCAAGAACUCAUUCAGGUUUUAGAGACCACCGCUAUUUUCAUGCGUGGGCAGCGGGCCGGGCAAGGAUUGCAACCCGGCUCUUCUUGCGUGCGCAGCCGUCGGCAGGUGGCUCGGGCCCCUGUGGUGAUCUCUGUUUACCGGAGAGAGCGGUCCAAGUUGGGCUCCAUCUCUGCCCUGGCUAGCUGCUCCGCAGAACCCUGCCUGCCCGGAAAGCGCGGAGAAAAUUCAGCCGAACCCACUCUCGCCCUUUCCCUACCCCCAACGCCUGGAGAGGUCGGACGGCGAUGACCCCCAAGCCAGCCGGACCCCCGGACGGGGGCUGGGGCUGGGUGGUGGCGGCCGCAGCAUUCGCCGUGAACGGGCUCUCCUACGGGCUCUUACGCUCCCUGGGCCUUGCCCUCCCCGACCUCGCGGAGCACUUUGAACGAAGCGCCCAGGACACUGCGUGGGUCAGCGCCCUGGCCUUGGCCGUGCAGCAGGCAGCCAGCCCAGUGGGCAGCGCCCUGAGCACUCGCUGGGGGGCACGCCCCGUGGUGAUGGUUGGGGGAGUCCUAACCUCGCUUGGCUUGGUCUUCUCGGCUUUCGCCCGAAGCCUCCUGCACCUCUACCUCGGCCUGGGCCUCCUCGCUGGCUCUGGCUGGGCUCUGGUGUUCGCCCCAGCCCUGGGUACCCUCUCUCGAUACUUCUCCCGCCGUCGGGUCUUGGCAGUAGGGUUGGCGCUCACCGGUAAUGGGGCAUCCUCGCUGCUCCUGGCACCUGCCUUGCAGUUCCUCCUUGAUACUUUCGGCUGGCGGGGUGCCUUGCUCCUCCUUGGCGCUGUCACCCUUCACCUCACACCCUGUGGCGCCUUGCUACGGCCUUUAGCUCUCUCUGGUGACCCGCUGGCCCCACCUCGCACCCCCCUAGCUGCCCUUGGCCUAGGUCUGUUCAGGCGCCCGGCCUUUUCAGUCUUUGCUUUGGGCACCGCCUUGAUUGGGGGCGGAUACUUCGUCCCUUAUGUGCACUUGGGUCCGCACGCUUUAGAUCAGGGCAUGGGUGGAUACGGGGCAGCGUUGGUGGUGGCUGUCGCUGCAGUUGGAGAUGCAAGUGCCCGAUUGGUCAGCGGAUGGCUGGCAGACCAGGGCUGGGUGCCCCUUCCGAGGCUUCUGGUGGUGUUUGGGUCUCUGACUGGAUUAGGGGUACUGGCAGUGGGACUAGUGCCCACUGUGGGGACGGAGGAGGGUUGGGGAGCUCCUCUGCUAGCCGCUGCUGGGGCCUAUGGCCUGAGUGCCGGGAGUUACGCCCCACUGGUUUUCGGUGUGCUCCCUGGGCUGGUAGGCAUUGGAGGUGUGGUGCAGGCCACAGGGUUGGUGAUGAUGCUGAUGAGCCUCGGGGGACUCCUGGGCCCUCCUCUGUCAGGCUUCCUAAGGGAUAAGACAGGAGACUUCAGUGCCUCUUUCCUGGUGUGCAGUUCUUUCAUCCUCUCUGGCAGCUUCAUCUACAUGGGGCUGCCCAGAGCCCUCCCCUCCUGCCGCCCAGCCUCACCUCCCGCUACCCCUCCGCCUGAGAGAGGGGAACUGCUCCCAGUCCCACAAGUCUCCCUGCUCUCCACGGGGGGCAGCAGCUCCAUCCGGGAUACCACUUGUUGAUCAUUUUCUUGGUUGACUCCCUUAAUAAAGAAUUUUUAUCUUA
rnacentral:lncRNA from 1 species